rnacentral:rRNA from 1 species
GUAGGGAAUCUUCCGCAAUGGACGAAAGUCUGACGGAGCAACGCCGCGUGAGUGAAGAAGGUUUUCGGAUCGUAAAACUCUGUUGUAAGGGAAGAACAAGUACGUUAGUAACUGAACGUACCUUGACGGUACCUUACCAGAAAGCCACGGCUAACUACGUGCCAGCAGCCGCGGUAAUACGUAGGUGGCAAGCGUUAUCCGGAAUUAUUGGGCGUAAAGCGCGCGUAGGCGGUCUCUUAAGUCUGAUGUGAAAGCCCCCGGCUCAACCGGGGAGGGUCAUUGGAAACUGGGAGACUUGAGUACAGAAGAGGAGAGUGGAAUUCCAUGUGUAGCGGUGAAAUGCGCAGAGAUAUGGAGGAACACCAGUGGCGAAGGCGGCUCUCUGGUCUGUAACUGACGCUGAGGUGCGAAAGCGUGGGGAUCAAACAGGAUUAGAAACCCCUGUAGUCC